CCUACGGGAGGCUGCAGUGGGGAAUAUUGGACAAUGGGCGAAAGCCUGAUCCAGCCAUGCCGCGUGUGUGAAGAAGGCCUUCGGGUUGUAAAGCACUUUCAGUGGGGAAGAAAGCCUUGGGGCUAAUACCCUCGAGGAAGGACAUCACCCACAGAAGAAGCACCGGCUAACUCCGUGCCAGCAGCCGCGGUAAUACGGAGGGUGCGAGCGUUAAUCGGAAUUACUGGGCGUAAAGCGCGCGUAGGCGGUCUGAUAAGCCGGUUGUGAAAGCCCCGGGCUCAACCUGGGAACGGCAUCCGGAACUGUCAGGCUAGAGUGCAGGAGAGGAAGGUAGAAUUCCCGGUGUAGCGGUGAAAUGCGUAGAGAUCGGGAGGAAUACCAGUGGCGAAGGCGGCCUUCUGGACUGACACUGACGCUGAGGUGCGAAAGCGUGGGUAGCAAACAGGAUUAGAUAUCCGAGUAGUC
rnacentral:rRNA from 1 species